rnacentral:rRNA from 1 species
AUCUAAGGCCAUGCCACCCUGAACAGGGUCGGGCCUCGUUAGUACUUGGAUGAGAGACCACCUAGGAAGACCAGGCCCUGUAGGCA